rnacentral:miRNA from 1 species
AUUCGUGGAAGACUGGCGGAUCAA